rnacentral:lncRNA from 1 species
AACCCAGUUCCAGCAUGGGCAGCCUUCUACCCUCCCAUCAGGCAGGAACCCCUUCUUAGGGAUCUCUGUCACCUCUGCAGCGAGCCCCAGCCCGGGGAUAUUUGUAUGUAUGCAUGUGGAACCGUCUGUGUUUGUGUGUGCACCCGUGUGUGUGUGUGUGUGUGUGUGUGUGUGUGUGUGUUCCUGCAGAGGGGGAUGGAAGUGAGCGAGUGUGCGCUCCGUGUGUGUGAAAAUGUAUGUGCAUUGCGUAGGUGUGCAAGUGUACUCAUUCUAAGAGCACGCACAGGAGGGCUGGCGUCUGUGCAAGGGUAGCUGGCGGUGUGUAAAGGGAGGAGAGGGCGGCUGCUGAGCAACGUGGAAUUCCAAGCCCUAAUUGUCCGGAGGAAGUGAGAGCAUAAUGAAGUGAUUACAAAUGAGGAGCUGCCUGGAUGCUGUUAAUUUAGGCUUUAACGAACGCUGACUAAGGCAAAGCUUAGCGUUAACACGGAAGCAGAUGAAUGCAAGUGACACCAAGGCUAAUGCAGGGACGCGGCUCUCACUGCCUGGAAACGCACGUCCAAGGGCUCUGGAAAUGCCGCCAUAUUUGCAGGGACGUGGAACCGGGCUAUUAGAAGACCUUGAACGCCGUGUUAAGGAGUUUGAACUUGGCUUGCUACCUAAUGGGAUGCUACUUAAGAUUUUGGAACUCAGGAGAUUUCACGCUUUGAGGGUUUGCCAGCACGGAUGCUCUUUGCACCCACAAAAGUCUCAAGAUCCUCCACACUAAAUUGGAUGAUCCUUUUCCCAGAUCAAGAAACUCCAACUCCUAACUCGGCUGGAUUGCAUACAUCACUUCUGCACAAAUUACCAAUAUGCCAGCGAGGAGGAAUUAUGUCAGAUGACAGCGGAGACAUGAGACGCAGGCUGUGUCUAGGGGACCUUGGACAAGUCAUUUCCCCUGGGGGGGGUCUCAGAAGCAGCAGGGUGCCUGCAAAUAAUUUCAACAGCCUGAUGGUUGGUGUCCCGACUCCAGUCUUCUUCACUCCAGUGAGUUCUCCGCUCAGCUGCCAAUCUUCCUAAAAUGAUUUCAUCUAAGCCUGACGUGUUUUUGGUGUGAUUAUCUACGAGGAAAGAGAGACUCCGGGAUGGUGGAGGCCAUGCUGAACAGGAUGGGACAGUGAGUAGUGGUGUGGAGGGGCAGAAUUGGUGUAAGAGCUCUUGGGCUCUCAGAUACAAAAUACAAGUGCUUCCAGACAUUCUUUGGGAGAGAAAGAAAGACUUGAGAAGCUGCAGACAUGUAGAAGUUGGGUCCUCAGCAUGUCCCUGAUUUACAG